ensembl:lncRNA
AGGGCUGUUGCUAGAACUUGCAACAUUCUGACUGGAUUACCAAUUAACCAAAGCGUCCGUUGCAAUGCUGGUUGCUUGGUUACCUUUAAGCUGUAUUUUAUGGUGACAUUGCUCGCUACUUAUGAAAGCACCACUGAUCUCGACAAGGGGUGCAACUUUGAUAGGGGGGCAGAGAAAUUCACAAUUCAGGGUGUCUUCGUCAGACAGAGAGACCCAUACAGAAAGAGAGAGGAAGAAAGUGAGAAAUGAGAAGGUGGGAAAAGAGUGAAAGACAGAGAUAGAGAUGAAGAGCAAUCACAUGUGCCUGCGGGGGAAGGAUGGCCAGACACACAGGAGGGUGAUUUUCACUAAGGAGGAAAAGGAGACGGUGCUGACAGAGAUGCAUGCUGGACAUUUCGGAGUGAAGCGAAUGACUGCCAAAAUCAUCCUACGCUUCUUCUGGCAUGGGAUUGUCAAGGAUGUGGACAGCUGGGACAAGACUGGCGAGUCCACCUCCAAAGUGAUGAUGGACAUCUUUAACACUCACUGUGCUCCUGAGGUAACCUUGAGUGAUCGAGGUCGUGAACUCUGGAACAAGGGUUACCUCGUUGGAAGCCAACAUUCUUCUCCAGUUGGAGCAGUUGGACGGUCAAUCCACUGCAAGCCCUGACUCCUUACACCUCGGUGAAGCCCAUGAGACAAAAUGAAAUUCUGCAUCUAGUGAUUUCUGAUUGCCAAACAAUCUGCACACUCAUCCCAUCCCCUCCAUUUCAUUACAUAAUCUAAAGCUACUGUUAUUGUUAUGUUGUCAUUAUCUGCUAAUACAGUUUGCUAGCCGUAUCAUACUGGGCAUAUAAUAUGUGAGAUACGCAGAUGAACUAAAAACCACUAGCACUGCAAACACUCAGAACAAAGAAGCAGCAGUGCCUGGACUUCGCAGUCUCCCUCUUCAAGUCCCACUUCCAAGACUGCCUGUUAAGAACAAGUGACAGGCAGAACCUCCCAAUCACACAGCACCCACCUCUUUAUUCCACACACCAGAAUUAAGUAUUUCAGUCUGAUUGCCAUGUGAGUGUACAAAAAAGUAUCUGUGAAAAUAAAUUAAUGACACAACUGUACCAAAAAAAACGUUUCAUGUAUUAAAAUCUUAAAUAUUGCCAG